UUACAGGUAAACUGUGCAAUUAGUUUUUAUUUUUGUCUAUAUUUAAUGCUCCAUGCAUGCGACCAAAGAUUCAAUGUGACGGGGAAUCUUGAAAAUUUUUGCGAACUAAACAAGGCUUGGUCAACACCCCUUCAGCUGUUGAACAAGCUACAUAAGUGCACUCCUGUUAGCUUGAGCUUAUCAGCCAGAAUCAGCACUACUUUUCAGCCAUAUAACAGUAUUUUUCACUCACAACAAAUCAACAUCAGCAUCAGCAUCAGUCGCCUGCGUUUUCGAGAGAAAAAAGGAACCAUCAGCUGAACAGGAGUUAUUUGGACAACAUAAUUACUAUUUUGUAUAUGAUGAAUCAGGCGAACAAGGUUGCAUCUUGAAGCUGGUAAUUUUGAAAGCAGUGUGGAGGCAGCGGCAGCAACAUGGGAGGAUUUGAUUACUCUAAGGCAAUGAUGGCCAUGACGUGCUGCUAGUUGGAGCAGCAGUAGCCGAUGCCCAUACAAGCAGCAUGGGAGGAGAAACGGUGAUGUAGAAUCUGUAUGGAAUUAUUAGUCUCUAAAGGAUAGUUUGUCAUGUUGCCUGCUAACAAUCUAAAGGUUUACUUCAGGAGUGACCAUUUGGGAUCAAGUUAAAGAGUCCUUAAGUUGAGAAGGGCCAUGUAUGUUUGUUCAGGACAAGAAAGAAAGAAAUCAUUUGUCCCCCUUUUGUUCUAUUACUCAAUCCCUAUAGUUUUGUCACCCCAGUCUAUCUAUACCUACUGGCUAAUGUAGAUAGGUUGCUCAGUCACAGGAUGGGUUGGUAGACACAUCAUUAUGAAGUUGCUAACAAUCCACCCCAAGACAUAAUCUGUUGGGCCCUGGACAAUACCACAUGGUAUUUUUGCAUUCUUGAUGAGAUGUGUUGAAAAGAAUACAUUUGACUGAUAAAGGGAUUCAUGAGGAUUGGUUGAAAAUCUGAACUGAAUCGUAUGGGUUUGGAUUUAGAUACUCACAUGGCCCCCAUCAAACAGGCCAUGAAGGAUUAGUUAAAAUUUGAACUGAAUCUUGUUUCUUGUGGUAAGUGGAGGAAAUUGGUUUGAGUUGUGUGUGCUCUUUGCCAUGAGAACAAGAUUUGGACAAUGUAUAUGUUCCUGUGAUGUAGCUUGUUUUUCCCGGUGGAAGUAGGAAUGACGCUUCUAGUGGGACAUGCAUUCUUUUUAUGAGAUUUCUGCUGGAGUUCUGGACUCUUGAUGUUUUUUAUUCAUAUUUUUAGUUGAUGCCCUUGAAACUUCUUGGAGCAUAUGAAUCUGCAUGGCAGUAGCAACCGAUCUGUUUCAAUUUAAUUUUUUUCUAUUUCUCUGUUUGCGUUCAAAUUUCAAUAUAAGAAGGCACUACUUUGAUCUAAGUGCCAGUAGCCGUAUGCUUUGAUAGCACAUAUAAUAUACUUAUCACUGAUGAGAUAAUGGCAGAAGGUCUCGGUCUUGUUAUGGACAUUUCAACUGAUUGAUAGUACCUACAGACAUACAGUAGAAUAUAUCAGUAAUCAGAUAACGGCAGGUCUCGGCAUCAUGUUUCGAAACCUUACCCUUACCCGUCCAAACUGAAUUGCGACCAACCUCCGUAGCGAUAUUUUGGUCACUAGUUCAUCUGGUGAGCGGGUAAAAAUAGGGCCUUUUAUUUUAUCUGAUGUUGUUGCUGUCUGCAUGACACCAAACUGUUGGUAACUCUGCAGGCAGCCACCCACUAUAUCUGAACUUCUGAACAUGGGCGAUUGGUGUAUAUCUGAACUUCUGAACAUCGGCGAUCGGUGUAUAUCUGAACUUCUGAACAUCGCGUUUGGUGUGUAUCUGAACUUCUGAACAUUGGUGAUUCGUUGGUGUAUAUCUCAAAUUCUGAAGAUCGGUGAUUGAUGAGUUCAGUGUUAGCAUCAGGUGCAGCAUCGGUGAUUGAUGAGUGUUCAGUGUUACCAUCAGGUGCAGCAUGGUAAUCAGUUGCAUUCUUCAGUUAAUGUCAGUUGAAUACAGGGGUUCGCCGUUCUCAACAGAAGUACAGGGUUCGCGCAACAGAAACAGGGUACAGGGCAAGUUAGGUGCCGGAUGCACGCUCAUAUGGCAACUAGCUAAGCCUUCAGCUAGUUGUUAGCCAACUCCAGUUAAUGUAGAAUAAUUUUUUACUCCAUCGAGUAACUAGCCCUAUUGAUUCAGGCCCUAAACUUGGUACUGUGAUAGUAAGUGCAUUGCAGAAAACAAGACAAAAUAACAGUAUAUCAGCAGGUUAUCCGCGAAACUGCAUUACAAAUCUCUCAGUUUUUCAAUCCAACAAACAAAUCAAAGAAUCGAUGUUGGUGCUUGCUAAAAA